rnacentral:lncRNA from 1 species
UUCAAUUCAUUAGGUUCAGAAAUAAUUAACAUGAGAUUAUUUCCCAUGCUUUAGUAAGUAUGAAAUAAUAAGAUCACGGUUCAUUCUUUUUUAACUAAUUACCUGAAUGUUUUCAAAAUUAAAAUAACCGGAAUUAUAAACUACAUGCAAAGCAUGUAAAUGAAAAUAACUAUUACCCUAAAAAAACAGAAAAGCAAAAAGCUUUACGGACAUUUUAUAAAGGAAAAGAAAAAGGUAUAGAAUAUAACUAGCACUAACACCACCAUCGUGAUCAAGUGCAGUCACACAUCACAUAUCAUCACCAAGCAAGAAAAGAAAAAAAAAACGGAAUAUUUCACACGAAAAAAAAAAACACAUACAGAUACAAAGCCAUUUCGAAUAGUACCUAAAGGAAUAAGUNNNGAAGAAAAAGAAAAAAGAACAAAAUAUAGAGAAAAGAAUAGAUUUUCCUUGUAAAAAUGAUAAAUCAAUAAAGAAAAGGAACUCACCUUCUCCCGUUACUUAUUCGUCUGUUAAAAAGGAGUGAGAGCCAGAUCUCAAAAAUAGCAGCAGUAACUAUUUUGUGAUUGAUCUCAUAAAAUAUGCAACCAAACACACAAAUGAAGAAAUAAAGAGACGCGAUAGUUUCUCUCUGUGUCUCCGCGCAGUCUUUUAUUUUCGAUUGCGCGUUUUAAAACGAAAGAGAGAAUUUGGAAAGGAAUUCGUAUAAUUUGAUGCUAAGAAGGAGAAGAGAAACCUGAGAAAAAGUUUUUACAAAAAGAUAAUGGAAAUUAGAAAUCCAAAGUGGGAUUUCGAAAACUUGUGAAAAGGAGAGAUGGCUUGUGUUUGGGGUUUUGCAUCGGAGUUGUUCUAUUUUUAGAAAAAUUUCUUUCUUACUUUUUUUUUUUUUUUGUUUUAAGUUUUUCACUGCGUACUUGCCUUUGCAUUUAGGCUGCUGUUUCUUUGCUUGCUUUUGGUCAUUUCUUAGUUUUUCUCCGUUUCCUC